CCUGUUCAGCUUCUACCUGCCACACAGCUGUUAAAAGCUCGGAAGUUGCAAUGCUCAGCAGUCCUCCUUCUUAGAGAUAAAUCUUACUGAAGGCAGGAAAAACAUGUUCACUUCUGGCAUAGGUUCACUCCUUGCUGCUGCUGCUGUUGUUGUUUGAGGUGACUGCACCUUUUGAAGAGGCAAGAAAACUGAUGAGCCACCUGAAGCCAGACAGAGGAUUGGAGCAGUUUGGCAGGCAACAGAGAAAGCAAGAUGAAUACAUCACCUCUUUCUCCUGCUAGCAAAUGUGAGCAGGAAAUUCAGAGCUGGAUUCUUCUAGCAGUGGAUUCCAAGCCCACAUCUCAUAAGCAGCAUUAAAUUCCCCCUCUUCUUUCCAUAUUUGCAUUUUGUAAAUGGCACUCAGGUAGCUUUUCUGGAGGAGGCUUGAAGGGGAACCUGCCACAUCUGCUAGCUGAUUCAACCUAAAUAAUUCCUGUGCAAUAUUGGCUUGCAGCAAGAGCAUCCACUGGAGAUCCCAGUCUGAGCAGGCUGGUGGCAGAAAUAACUGGUAGCUUUGCAAGACAUCUCCACGGAAGCAGCUCAGAAAGAGACUGGCCAGUGAGGCUUGAUGGCAAAAGGAGGAACGGAGAGUCUUGUACCCCAACUCCCUCCCGCCACCAUGGAUUGCCCAUGGGCUCUACUUUGGUGUAACAUUGUGGAAUAAUCUUCCUGGAAUAGUUAGGAGCAAUAAAAAUAAAACAAUCAUUGAGUGUGA